rnacentral:lncRNA from 1 species
GGGCUGAACAUGAUGCAGCAAAAGCAGAAAUCAACUCCCACUCAGAAAACAGCUAGGCACUGCCACUUACAGAGGCAUAAAUAUCAGAUGUGGAUGCUUUACAAGAACAUUUUCAAGACUAGAAUUACAGCACUUCCUUAUUUCAGGCACUACAAGAUGCUCCAGGCUCAUCUUAUAUACUUCCUGCCCCCCACCAGUCCUAGCAUCAGAAACCAAGAUAUGGGUGCUAGAUGUGCUUGUUGCUACUAGAGUAUCAUUUCUUGUAAGCCCUCUCAGCUGGAAAGAAAUAUAUGUAUGUAUACUAACCUGUGUAUAUACACAUACCUAUAAAUAUUCUAUAUGAAACCAUCUUGAUCUAUAUUAAACGUUAUAUUUUGUUGAUUCUCCAGAAAAAAAAAUUAACACCUUUAAGUUUUUAAAAGUGCCUCAGAAGAAAAUUAUGUCAUUUACAUUUUAAAUUUGCCAUGGCACCUAGCACUGGGUGAUCCAUGAGAAUUUGCUGACUUGAAAUUCGGAGUUUAAGAGUGGGUUAAAAUAUAUCUGGCAUUAGUGUGUAAGCCACAGUCUGCUGACCUAAAAAAUGGGGACAGUAAUGAUACGAACUGCAAAGGACUACUGGAGAAUUAAAUGAGAUGAUGUAUUUAAAUUUUUAAAACAGAAUCUAACAUGCAAUAAACAUUUAAUAAAUAAUAAAAAAA